CCUUUCCCAUGUUUCACAAAGGCUGCAUUUCUGUCAAAAUGUCUUAUCUGGCUGUAGCUAGGGAGUACACACACUCCAGAGAGAAAAUGUGAAGUCAAGAUUCAGCAAAACAGCCUUUCUGGAACACUCUCAACUCUUUGGACAGACUAGUCCAUAAACCACAAAGCUGUGAGAGAAUCAGACCCCCAUGGCCAGGCCUGCUGACAAAGCAGAUGGACAGUUGUGUGCACAGUUGCCACAACACCAAGGAAAGGAACUGCCCUCCCUCAUCCCCAAAACAGAUCCUGGUGCUGAUUGGGUACCAUUUGGCAAGGGGAUUUUAUUCAUGCAAGAGUUACAACACUGUGCCUGCUGGAACAGGGAUUACCAUCAAAAUGCAGCAGCUCUGGUGAGGAGCUCUCUCCAGAAGUAUCAGCUCUGUCAACACAAAGGGACCAAGCACUCCAUGGCAAGAGCUCACAGGAUUCACAGCCAGCAGAUACAUUGGUUUGGCAAGGCUGGACUGCACAGCCCAACAUUUCCCAAGUUCUCCACAUGCCUCGCCCAUUGCGUUGCUCCAGGCUGGAGCAGAGUGGCUGCAAAGUGUCCAGCAGAAAAGGACCUGGAGGUGCUGGUCAACAGCAGCUGAACAUCAUCCAACACCUGCUCAGGAGGGUGCAGCCAGGGGAAGUCAGGCUCUGCUCCUAGGGAACAUGGGACAGGACAAGAGGAAGGGCCUCGAGCUGUGCCAGGAAGAGUCAGAUUGGACAUCAGCAGGAAUUUCUUCAUUGAAAGGCUGGCCAAGCAUGGAAGGGACUGCCCAGGGAGGUUUGGAGUCCCCAUCCAAGGAGGUAUCCAAGCAAGGACUGGUUGUGGCACUCAGUACUCUGGGCUGGGUGACAAGGUGGGUAUUGGUCAAAGGUUGGGCUCAUUGACCUUGGAGGUCUUUUCCAACCUAACAAA